rnacentral:lncRNA from 1 species
CAGGGAAAGGUUGGGGGUGGUCCAGGUCCGAUCAAAACCCCAUGGGUGGUUGGCGGCAAUAUAGAAAAAUUUUUCCUUCCACCCAUGGAUAGAAGAAGGGAGUUUCUUAAAAAUUUGUUGCCGGAGCCGAGGGCAGAAGAACCACCACCCCCAUUCUCGGAGAUGUUUCCUCAAGACAAAGAUGGCCCGAAACAAAGAGACUCGGGAUUCAAUGUGGAGAAGAUGAUAGAGGAUGACAAAACAAGAAAGAAUACGAAUGGAAUUAAGGGCAAGUUAAGCAGGAACGACCUCAUACAGAUCGAACAUGUUGGUGA